UGGGAAUGAAUGUGAUCCUUCACUUUGAUC
rnacentral:piRNA from 1 species